rnacentral:rRNA from 1 species
UACGAAGGGGGCUAGCGUUGCUCGGAAUCACUGGGCGUAAAGGGUGCGUAGGCGGGUUUUUAAGUCAGGGGUGAAAUCCUGGAGCUCAACUCCAGAACUGCCUUUGAUACUGAAGAUCUUGAGUCCGGGAGAGGUGAGUGGAACUGCGAGUGUAGAGGUGAAAAUUCGUAGAUAUUCGGAAGAACACCAGUGGCGAAGGCGGCUCACUGGCCCGGUACUGACGCUGAGGUGCGAAAGCGUGGGGAGCAAACAGG